rnacentral:lncRNA from 1 species
AUGUCGUGUCUUGUGUCUAGGUUGCAUAAUCGGAAAUAGAUUAAGUGGUGAGCUUGUAUUCACUUCACGAGGAACUAAGAAAGGGUAAUGGGUUAAUUCGAGCUUGUGAGUUAACUUCGGGUAAAUUCAAUUGAGAAUUAAGAUUCCAUAACUGAGAUUUGAUAUGAUUGAGUGUGUUUGGUGGUGGAGAAUGAGUCCUUAGCUUUGUUUCUAUCAAUAGUUUAAAGCUAUAAAAUCUGUUUCUGCUUUGUUAUCUUACUGUGUUCAGUUUUACGUGAAUUAUUUAAAUUAUCAAAUCAAUUCCGAUUGUUCUGAAAUUUUUUAUUCGUGUUAUUCAAUGUGUCUUUAGUGUCCUGUAAAAUUUUCAGAAAAUUCCAUCAAGUCUAGGUUAGUUAAUUAAUUUAUUUUCGUUAACUGUUCAGUAGCAUAGUUUAGAGUAGUUUGUGACAUUUGGUUAGCAGUUUAGGAACAAUCUUCAGCGGGUAAUGACCCUUGCUUGAUCACUAUAUUACCAACGAUGAUAUUUGAGUGCAAGGUUUAAGUUGUGCAUCUUUUAG